rnacentral:lncRNA from 1 species
CCUGGCAGAGGUAGAGGCCGUGGUGGGUUUAGAGGCAAUUGUGGCAGAGGGAGAGGAAGACAACCAUUCAACAAGGCCACCAUUGAGUGUUUCAGGUGUCAUAGGCUAGGGCAUUUAAUAUGAAUUCCUUGAUUGGGACAAUAUAGCUAAUUAUGUUGUAUGUAAUGAUGAAGAGGAAAUUCUCCUAAGGGCACACGAGGAGCAACAAAUGCAAGAGGAUGAACGGUAGUAUUUUGAUUCUGGCUGUAGCAAUCAUAUGACAAGAAACAAGCCAUGGUUUCUGAAU